AUUGAACGCUGGCGGCAGGCCUAACACAUGCAAGUCGAACGGUAACAGGAAGAAGCUUGCUUCUUUGCUGACGAGUGGCGGACGGGUGAGUAAUGUCUGGGAAACUGCCUGAUGGAGGGGGAUAACUACUGGAAACGGUAGCUAAUACCGCAUAACGUCGCAAGACCAAAGAGGGGGACCUUCGGGCCUCUUGCCAUCGGAUGUGCCCAGAUGGGAUUAGCUAGUAGGUGGGGUAACGGCCCACCUAGGCGACGAUCCCUAGCUGGUCUGAGAGGAUGACCAGCCACACUGGAACUGAGACACGGUCCAGACUCCUACGGGAGGCAGCAGUGGGGAAUAUUGCGCAAUGGGCGCAAGCCUGAUGCAGCCAUGCCGCGUGUAUGAAGAAGGCCUUCGGGUUGUAAAGUACUUUCAGCGGGGAGGAAGGGAGUAAAGUUAAUACCUUUGCUCAUUGACGUUACCCGCAGAAGAAGCACCGGCUAACUCCGUG
rnacentral:rRNA from 1 species